UAGGUAUGCUUAGAGCAAGGUGCCUGAAAAAUGGCUCCCCUGUUUAUAACACACCCAACAGGAAUUUGGGAUCAUUGGGAUGAAGGGCACAAACCUUGUGGCCUCCCUACAAACAAAUUCCAUACAUGU
ensembl:snoRNA